CAAAGGUUGGCAAACAGCAGCUUCAUCGCACACCGACCCUGAUCUGUGAGUCUGCAGCUUACAGGAAUCGACCAGUGAAAAUCCGACUUUCAUGUUCCAAAUGCAAACUGUCCGACGCCGUCAGCCUCCAUGAAGGAGACAAAGAGAUUCAAAGACACAGAAGAAAGCAGGAAAACAUCACGUGGUGAACUCUAACAGCUGUGAGCUGCUGUUGCAGAAACGUUGUUUUAAACUUCAUGUGGUUAAAGUGGAAGUGAAAGGACGUAUGAAGAGAAGCGGGUGCUGCUCUGAGAGGCUUCAUCCCACUCGUCCCCUAACAGUGAGAAAGCCUCGGCAGGCCUGUGUGUUUCCCUGAAUACAUGAAUGGGAUGAUGGGACGCUCAGUUAAAUGUGUUCACGGCUGCUGCGUCCCCAGUGAUCGGAGAAAAGGGGAUGAAAGAGGAAGGAAGUCAGUCUGGCAAAGUCCUCUGUUGGAGUAGACGCAUCAGAGCCAGCGACACCAAGAGGGAGAACAAGCUGAUGAGAAAGGUAGGCUCUGACUCUGGAGCUCCUGCAGGUUGUUACCGAGUAAAGGAAGCUCCACAAACUGCUGAACAUACCGGACACCACCUCACACCCACUGCAUGAUCUACUGCAGCAGGUUCCUUCAACUCUGCAGUAACAAGGACAGAAACCUUUCCUACCUGCUGCAGUUAAAUAGAUAACGACUCUCUCCGACCCUGUUUGCAGCAGAGGACUCCUCCGACGGGCGAUGCAAAAGUUCAGUCUGCACACUUCAUUUUAUUUUACAGUAGCUGUAACUAUACAUUAACAGAUAAAUCAUGUAAAUAAAAACAAAGCAGUGCAAGUAUAAA